rnacentral:rRNA from 1 species
AUUGAACGCUGGCGGCAUGCCUUACACAUGCAAGUCGAACGGCAGCGGGGACUUCGGUCCGCCGGCGAGUGGCGAACGGGUGAGUAAUGUAUCGGAACGUACCUUUCAGUGGGGGAUAACGUAGCGAAAGUUACGCUAAUACCGCAUAUUCUGUGAGCAGGAAAGCAGGGGAUCGCAAGACCUUGCGCUGAUUGAGCGGCCGAUAUCAGAUUAGCUAGUUGGUGAGGUAAAGGCUCACCAAGGCGACGAUCUGUAGCGGGUCGUGAGAGGAUGAUCCGCCACACUGGAACUGAGACACGGUCCAGACUCCUACGGGAGGCAGCAGUGGGGAAUUUUGGACAAUGGGGGCAACCCUGAUCCAGCCAUGCCGCGUGAGUGAAGAAGGCCUUCGGGUUGUAAAGCUCUUUCGGCCGGGAAGAAAUCGCAUGGGUUAAUACCCUGUGCGGAUGACGGUACCGGCAUAAGAAGCACCGGCUAACUACGUGCCAGCCGCCGCAGUAACAC